rnacentral:rRNA from 1 species
UACGUAGGGUGCGAGCGUUAAUCGGAAUUACUGGGCGUAAAGCGUGCGCAGGCGGUGAUGUAAGACCGAUGUGAAAUCCCCGGGCUUAACCUGGGAACUGCAUUGGUGACUGCAUCGCUCGAGUAUGGCAGGAGGGGGGUAGAAUUCCACGUGUAGCAGUGAAAUGCGUAGAGAUGUGGAGGAAUACCGAGUGGCGAAGGCAGCCCCCUGGG